rnacentral:tRNA from 2 species
GCCGGGGCGGCCGAGCCCGGUCCAAGGCGCGGGACUGCUAAUCCCGUGGCCCGUAUGGGCCGCCCGGGUUCAAAUCCCGGCCCCGGCGCCA